UGGAAUAUUUGUUUGUCUCCUGUGAUUUGAACUUUGGUUCAGCAAUGACUAAUCCAACCUCUCAAUUUACAUUGAAUUCAUUCUUUUAUAUACUUUCUGAAGCACAUUGCUGCUGAAUGUAGUAUUGUCAGUUCCAGUUCCAGUUCCAGUGCAGUGCCUCCCUGAUGAUUUUUACCUGCAGCUUUGUGUAAAUGUCUUAUAGAAGGUCACAGGCUUAGCUGUGACUAGGUUUUGCAUGUGCAGUUAGUUGCGUACAGGACUGUGCAAAUAUCUAGUUAAAGUCUCAAGUAUUUUAGUGUGACCUACCCUUAUACUUACAGUAUCCAAUAUCCUGAUCCUGACUCUAUUAAACCUGACCUAAUAUUACUGGUAAAACCAGUUGCAGUGAUCACUGACAUUCAUAGUCAUAAAUAAAUAAAACACUGACAACAUUCUUAUGUCAACAAAACCUUUGUGCUGCAAAUCGAGUAUACAUUACAAUACACACUGUUGGAGAAAUCCCUCUUUGUAGGGGAAGCAUUGUAAUAUAUAGACAUUAUCAGUCAUUGUGUCCACGUCAGUGAAUGGCUAAAGUUGAGGGUUUUUUGUGAUGUGGUUAAGCUACACUGUGUGGAGUAAAUGUCUGGAGCUUUUCAGACUCUCAUUAGCUGCUUAGCCCACUUACCCCAAACAAUGUUGACUGUUCACAGACACAGAGUGUGAGUUAGUCACAUUCAGCACCUGACUCUGUGUGUGUUAUAUUUUUUCCCUCCCCUUUGCUUUUCAGCUUUGUGUGUGUGAGAAAGAAUUCUCUUUAUCUCCUUUUGCACAUCCCACACAUACCCACAGGUGGUUGUAUUUGUUAAAAUUGCUCAGCUGCAGUUGUUUCCCCCUCUCUAGUCAGUCCUUCUUCAUGAUAGUUAUCUCUCUUUACUAUCUUCAACAUAACUCCUAUCUAUAGGAAAUGUCUUUUCUUGAGCUUUUCUUUUUGGUGACACUUUCCCCUAAGUCAAGACAGAUAGUUACUUUGAUUUGCAUUUCUUCUGUAUUUAUGACAAGGCAGUGAUGGUCACCCACACUCUAGUAUGUUUAUUAUUCAAGUGUCCUUUGGCUACUUCCAGGUAUGUUGGUCUAGUCUCUUUUAGCCCCACUUCUCUGUUUUCCUCUCUUCUUUGUUUUUCCCCCUUUUUUCCAAAUUGUGACAUCAUUACUCACUGCUUCAGCUGGAAUGUGUCGUAACUCCGCCUCUCCUCCUCCUCCUCCUCCUUCUGCUCCUGUCUUCCUUAUUGUUUGGCUGGGACUGCCGAGGAAAGUUGAUCUCUUCAGUCUUGACUAUUUCUGAUCUCCGGUAUUAAGCUGAAAAAUGCUGAACGCUUGCAGAUGGAGGUCUGUGAUUUUUAGACACACCCAGAUACAAUCUCUCCGUCUCUCCCCUCUCUCCAUCUCUCAGGGGAAAUUGGGUAAGACUCUUGAAUUCCCUUCUCUUUUUCUCUCUCUUUGACUUAUUACAUUACUCCCUGUUUCAUAGGCAGCAGAUGUUGGAGGGCGUGAGGUCUUCAGACACUCAAACAAACCAUUUCCUCAGUGUGCUUUCUUCUGAUUGGUUCACUUGGUCAGAGGGAACAUGGUUGGUCAUUGAUAAAUUACAGUACAUUGACCUACAUAUAACAUUGCUUUUACCUGUAUGUCCAAGUGUACAUUGCUCUGUUUGUUAGUGUCUUGGGAAUGUGUCCUCACAUCAUCCAUACGUGAUAUCUACAUUUCAUAGUCUUUCUUUUAAUUUAGACUUUUUUUUAUUUAUUUUUUUCUUAUCAUUGGCCCAAGGCACUCUGGUUGUGAUGGAUAUAUUGGAUUAAGGUUUUAAGGAAAGAGUUAAAAAUAGACCAAACCAAAACAACUACAGGAAAACAGAUCAAUAAUGCAGGUAACUCAUAAUACAGUAAAUCAUGUCCCAGGUAAAGGAAGAGAAUGUAUGGUGUCAAUGUGAAGUGUAGAUAAAAAUGUGGCUCUGCAACAACACAGCACAUGGUGUACAUUACUUAUCUGUGUUCUUUGUUCUUUCAGGGUGUUUCUUUUGAACUCUCUUACCGUGCGUUUUUUUACCUUUUUCUUUUGCGUAGUUGGACUUGUUUCCUUCUCCUGACCGUGAAUACAUGUGUUUCUCGUUUACUGUUUCUACCAGCCCUCUGAAAUUUCUGCUACUUUCUGUUCAGUGUAAAACAGAACAGUCAAAACAAAAAGAAAGCUGGCCUAUUAAGAUAGGAUUGUGAUUUUCAGCUGCUUUUAUAAAAAUGUCCAAUAUCUCAUUCAAAUGAUGUGCCUCUGUGUAGCAACAACCGUGGCCAUGUUCUUUUCUUAUUUGGUUAUAAUAAUAAUUUAAACUAAUGUAGCAAAAGUAAAAACAUUAAAUCAUUAAUACCACUGAUUAAGACGAAGUUGAAAAAGUCAAAUAGAGAAUUAAUUUUAAUGACAUCUUUUAAGUCCACAUUCAGUAAAUCUAGUAAACAGGGCUAGAUAAUGCUUCUUUAUUGCACAAAUAAAAGUCCCAAAUCUGUCUAUAAAAAAUCAGGUCCAUUUAACUUGCUAUAAACCUUAUCCAUAUUGUGUGGGAUUACCGAGGAUGUACACCAUGUGCUCUAGAGUCUUCAACCGCUCUGUCCCCUGCCUCUGGAACUCCCUCCCACUUGACAUCUGUAAUAUUGACUCUCUGUCUUUCCACUCUCAAAUUACAUCUUGAAACACAUCUAUUUUUAAACUGGCAUAUUCACUUUGAUAGUUUUAACAUUUAAUUAUAUUAAUACUCAGUGCCUAACAUAAAAUUGAUCAUUAUUAUUCAUUAUUAUGUUGGUGCCUUCUGUGAAAUACUACAGAAUGUUAAGAUUAUUCAAUAUCUAUCAGUAUAUUUGCUAACUAGUAGUAGUAACUAAUAUUGCUGACCACUGAUAUGCCUAGAAAGCCACUUGAAAUAGGGUUGAUCACCGGGUCCUACGUGAAAGCUCUGUACCACCUAAAUAUGAUGAGAUGAUUGAAGUCGACUGUAUGUGUGUUACAGUCCAGAUGGUUUGUGAGAAACAGAAAUUCACCCUGUCUCGGUGUGUGUCUCUGUGUGUCUUAGAGGGUCUUGUGCAAUUUAAAUCUUUGUUAAUUGUUUUGUUUGUAUUUGUGUAUAUAGCGGCUCAGUAGUACUUAAAUAGAGGAGGGAUCCUGUCUGUAUGUGUGACAGAGUGCUGUGGAAUUUCUCAAUCUCAUCCAAAUGAGCUUAUUGGUUUUAAGAGAAGACAGCCGUGUGUGUGUGUGUGUGUGUGUGUGUGUGUGUGUGUGUGUGUGUGUGUGUGUGUGUGUGUGUGUGUGUGUGUGUGUGUGUGUGUGUGUGUGUGUGUGUGUGUGUGUGUGUGUGUGUGUGUGUGUGUGUGUGUGUGUGUGUGUGUGU